AGCGCAGGUGGUUUCUUAAGUCUGAUGUGAAAGCCCACGGCUCAACCGUGGAAGGUCAUUGGAAACUGGGGGAACUUGAAUGCAGAAGAGGAGAGUGGAAUUCCAUGUGUAGCGGUGAAAUGCGUAGAUAUAUGGAGGAACACCAGUGGCGAAGGCGACUCUCUGGUCUGUUAUUGACACUGAGGCUCGAAAGCGUGGGGAGCAAACA
rnacentral:rRNA from 1 species